CUAUUGGAAACGAUAGCUAAUACCGCAUAACAAUGGAUGACACAUGUCAUUUAUUUGAAAGGGGCAAUUGCUCCACUACAAGAUGGACCUGCGUUGUAUUAGCUAGUAGGUGAGGUAAUGGCUCACCUAGGCGACGAUACAUAGCCGACCUGAGAGGGUGAUCGGCCACACUGGGACUGAGACACGGCCCAGACUCCUACGGGAGGCAGCAGUAGGGAAUCUUCGGCAAUGGGGGCAACCCUGACCGAGCAACGCCGCGUGAGUGAAGAAGGUUUUCGGAUCGUAAAGCUCUGUUGUAAGUCAAGAACGGGUGUGAGAGUGGAAAGUUCACACUGUGACGGUAGCUUACCAGAAAGGGACGGCUAACUACGUGCCAGCAGCCGCGGUAAUACGUAGGUCCCGAGCGUUGUCCGGAUUUAUUGGGCGUAAAGCGAGCGCAGGCGGUUUGAUAAGUCUGAAGUUAAAGGCUGUGGCUCAACCAUAGUUCGCUUUGGAAACUGUCAAACUUGAGUGCAGAAGGGGAGAGUGGAAUUCCAUGUGUAGCGGUGAAAUGCGUAGAUAUAUGGAGGAACACCGGUGGCGAAAGCGGCUCUCUGGUCUGUAACUGACGCUGAGGCUCGAAAGCGUGGGGAGCGAACAGGAUUAGAUACCCUGGUAGUCCACGCCGUAAACGAUGAGUGCUAGGUGUUGGAUCCUUUCCGGGAUUCAGUGCCGCAGCUAACGCAUUAAGCACUCCGCCUGGGGAGUACGACCGCAAGGUUGAAACUCAAAGGAAUUGACGGGGGCCCGCACAAGCGGUGGAGCAUGUGGUUUAAUUCGAAGCAACGCGAAGAACCUUACCAGGUCUUGACAUCCCGAUGCUAUUUCUAGAGAUAGAAAGUUACUUCGG
rnacentral:rRNA from 1 species